rnacentral:piRNA from 1 species
UAGGAUGGAGUCAUUACAUAUCAAGUGAUC